AUAACCAGAACUUUUCCUGUGGUAACCAAGAUACAAGCCUGAUUUUAUUUAUGUUCCCACUGGCUCAGCCUUAGCGUGAUUUCACAAGAAGCAGACCAUAUUAUGGAGCCAGCUGGGAGGGUAGAACCCUGCCUGUUCUCAAAAGACCACAGCAGGCAGAUUAUUGUCCAGGAGAACUUCUUCAUCUGGUUGGGGAAAGCAGAGGCAAGAGUUCUACCCACAGGGGACAGGAAUCAAAGGGGGAAACUCCUGGAACUGACUGGCCAUUAAAGAGCGUAUGGAGUCAGAGAGUGACCUUGCCAGCACCACACGACAUUAGCACAGAUGGCCUUGGCCAUGUUAAUGACAUUUCCAUGGGAAGAUCCAUAUCUUUGACAUUUCUUGCACUCCCAGAAGCUGCAAGCAGCAUGAAGUAGCCUAAAGAGGAUUGACCU